GGGAGGCAGCAGUGGGGAAUAUUGCACAAUGGGCGCAAGCCUGAUGCAGCCAUGCCGCGUGUGUGAAGAAGGCCUUCGGGUUGUAAAGCACUUUCAGCGGGGAGGAAGGCGAUAAGGUUAAUAACCUCAUCGAUUGACGUUACCCGCAGAAGAAGCACCGGCUAACUCCGUGCCAGCAGCCGCGGUAAUACGGAGGGUGCAAGCGUUAAUCGGAAUUACUGGGCGUAAAGCGCACGCAGGCGGUCUGUCAAGUCGG
rnacentral:rRNA from 1 species